GUACACGCUGUGACUAGCAUAUCAAUAAGCGGAGGAAAAGAAACUAACAAGGAUUCCCCUAGUAACGGCGAGUGAAGCGGGAAGAGCUCAAAUUUGAAAUCUUAAAGGGUUUCCCUUUACGAAUUGUAGUUUAAAGAAGUGUUUUCUGUUGAGGUUUUGGUAAAAGUUCUUUGGAAUAGGACAUCAUAGAGGGUGAGAAUCCUGUAUUUGACCUUUACUUUCAACUUUGUGAUACACUUUCAAAGAGUCGGAUUGUUUGGGAAUGCAGUCCAAAAUGGGUGGUAAAUUUCAUCUAAAGCUAAAUAUUGGCGAGAGACCGAUAGCGAACAAGUACCGUGAGGGAAAGAUGAAAAGAACUUUGAAAAGAGAGUUAAACAGUACGUGAAAUUGUCAAAAGGGAAGCGUUUGACACCAGUGUUGUUUUUCUGAAAAUCAAUUAAAGAACUGUUUAUGCUAAGUUGUUUAGACUUUAUCAGCUAACUGUUUAGUUUUGAGCUUUUCUUUAAUGCACUUUUCAGUUAACAAGUCAACAUCAAUUUCUUUUGCUGUAAAAAAGCUUGAGGAAGGUGGCUUGAGAUUCGUCUUAAGUGUUUAUAGCCUCUUGCCUAUGCAGUCGGAGAGAUUGAGGUCUGCAGCGUAGAUCCUUCGGGGCUAAAUGCAUUUGUGCUAAGUUAUAGCAUUUUAUAGACAACUUGUUGACUAUGAUUUGUCUUGUAGCUUACUCGCUUAUGUUAUUUUACCUACGCUUAGGAUGUUGAAGAUGUAGCACAUCAU
rnacentral:rRNA from 1 species